GAGUUUAGCUCAGCCGGUUCAGAGCACUUGCCUUACAAGCAAGGGGUCACUGGUUCGAAUCCAGUAACUCC
rnacentral:tRNA from 1 species